GUCAGGGCCAAGAAGAAAUGAAAAGCCCCCCAUGUCCUUUCACCUAGCUUGCUAUAAACCUCAUCUAGCCCUCCUUCGCAGAGAAAAAUCUCUCUCUUUCUCUGUCUCUCUCUCUCAAAGUUUUCAACUUUCAAAACCCUCCCUUUCUCUUUUGUCUCUGUGUCUGUCUCCAAGGCAGAGAGUCUUUUUCGUAUGCCCCAGCCUUCUCUUCUUCCUCUGAGUGAUGGGUGUGAGCUUUCUUUACUCUCAGACUUUCCACAUUGCCGUGAUCCUCAUCACCACCUUCUAUCGUCAUAGGUCCUAGAUUGCACUGACUUAAACGCAUGAGCCCUUUUUCAUUUUUACUCAUUAAUAUGGCCGUUUAAGCCUCUGGGAAUUCAAAGUACAAAAGCAUAACAAAAAA
rnacentral:misc_RNA from 1 species